rnacentral:rRNA from 1 species
UACGAAGGGGGCUAGCGUUGCUCGGAAUUACUGGGCGUAAAGGGCGCGUAGGCGGACAGUUUAGUCAGAGGUGAAAGCCCAGGGCUCAACCUUGGAACUGCCUUUGAUACUGACUGCCUUGAGUUCGGGAGAGGUGAGUGGAAUGCCGAGUGUAGAGGUGAAAUUCGUAGAUAUUCGGCGGAACACCAGUGGCGAAGGCGACUCACUGGCCCGAUACUGACGCUGAGGCGCGAAAGCGUGGGGAGCAAACAGG